rnacentral:tRNA from 1 species
CUCGCCUUAGCUCAGUUGGAGGAGCGCGACGCUACGAACGUCGAGGACGCAAGUUCGAAUCUUGCAGGCGGGUCCA